GGUUGUGGCUCAGUGGUAGAGUGCUUGCCUAGUACGUGCGGGGCCCUGGGUUCGAUCCUCAGUACCA
rnacentral:tRNA from 1 species